rnacentral:rRNA from 1 species
UACGUAGGGUGCAAGCGUUGUUCGGAAUUACUGGGCGUAAAGGGCUCGUAGGUGGCCAACUAAGUCAGACGUGAAAUCCCUCAGCUUAACUGGGGAACUGCGUCUGAUACUGGAUGGCUUGAGUUUGGGAGAGGGAUGCGGAAUUCCAGGUGUAGCGGUGAAAUGCGUAGAUAUCUGGAGGAACACCGGUGGCGAAGGCGGCAUCCUGGACCAACACUGACACUGAUGAGCGAAAGCCAGGGGAGCAAACGGG